rnacentral:rRNA from 1 species
AUACGGAGGGCGCAAGCGUUGUUCGGAAUUACUGGGCGUAAAGCGCGCGUAGGCGGCUUUGUAAGUCGGAUGUGAAAGCCCUGGGCUCAACCUGGGAAUGGCAUUCGAUACUGCAUAACUAGAGUAUGGUAGAGGGAAGUGGAAUUUCCGGUGUAGCGGUGAAAUGCGUAGAUAUCGGAAGGAACACCAGUGGCGAAGGCGACUUCCUGGGCCAAUACUGACGCUGAGGUGCGAAAGCGUGGGGAGCAAACAGGAUUAGAAACCCCAGUAGUCC